rnacentral:rRNA from 1 species
AAAGAUUCUUCGGAUGAUUUCCUAUUUGACUGAGCGGCGGACGGGUGAGUAACGCGUGGGUAACCCGCCUCAUACAGGGGGAUAACAGUUAGAAAUGACUGCUAAUACCGCAUAAGCGCACGAGAGGACAUCCUUUUGUGUGAAAAACUCCGGUGGUACAGAAUGGGCCCGCGUCUGAUUAGCUGGUUGGCAGGGUAACGGCCUACCAAGGCGACGAUCAGUAGCCGGUCUGAGAGGAUGAACGGCCACAUUGGAACUGAGACACGGUCCAAACUCC